AAGAAAUAAACAGCAGCAAGCGGGAGGGAAAUGGUGUUGGUCCGGGCUGAGAGGUUUUACAAACAUUUGGUGCACAUCGGAAAAUACAAAUUUGAAACUUACAGUCUCGUUUUUGCAGUAAACGGGAAAAUACCUCAUCUCGCGAUUGACUCGUAUACCCGUGAUUAAUGCCAAAGCCCUGUUUCCUGGGGAGAGGGUGAUGUUUGACUUUCUUGUACAGCUGCAGUUUGUGUGGUGAAGGUGCUCCCACAAUGUGGUUGGGAUGAGGCUGUCACUGGCUCGGCCAGCAUUUAUUGCUGCGUUUACCCAGAGGGCAGUU